CAGUCGAACGGACUCAUACUGAAACCUAGUGAUUUAUGAGUUAGUGGCGGACCCUUGAGUAACGCGUGGAUAACCUGCCGUAUACCGGGGGAUAACACUUAGAAAUAGGUGCUAAUACCGCAUGAGCGCACAGCUCCGCAUGGGGCGGUGUGAAAAACUCCGGUGGUAUACGAUGGAUCCGCGUCUGAUUAGCCAGUUGGCGGGGUAACGGCCCACCAAAGCGACGAUCAGUAGCCGGCCUGAGAGGGUGAACGGCCACAUUGGGACUGAGACACGGCCCAGACUCCUACGGGAGGCAGCAGUGGGGAAUAUUGCACAAUGGGGGAAACCCUGAUGCAGCGACGCCGCGUGAGUGAAGAAGUAUCUCGGUAUGUAAAGCUCUAUCAGCAGGAAAGAUAAUGACGGUACCUGACUAAGAAGCCCCGGCUAACUACGUGCCAGCAGCCGCGGUAAUACGUAGGGGGCAAGCGUUAUCCGGAUUUACUGGGUGUAAAGGGAGCGUAGACGGCAGCGCAAGUCUGGAGUGAAAUGCCGGGGCCCAACCCCGGAACUGCUUUGGAAACUGUGCGGCUCGAGUGCGGGAGAGGUAGGCGGAAUUCCUAGUGUAGCGGUGAAAUGCGUAGAUAUUAGGAGGAACACCAGUGGCGAAGGCGGCUUACUGGACCGUAACUGACGUUGAGGCUCGAAAGCGUGGGGAGCAAACAGGAUUA
rnacentral:rRNA from 1 species